GUUCGGUUCGGUGGAAAAAAAUUCUAAGGUUCGGCAGAAACCCAAACCCCGUCAAAAAGCCCAAUAUUCGGCAGAAAUCCAAAGCCAAAUCCUAGAUUCGGUGCAUCCCUGACAAAUCACAUAAGUGUGUGUG